CUCAUUUUACGACCCGUCGUCGCCCUUCCUCCCCUUCUUCAAAAACUCGUUCUUCCCCUUCUUCAGAAACUCGUCGCCAUCUUCGCCAUCUUCUUCAGAAAUUCCUCCGCUCUUCUUUCUCUCUCUCGCUCCUUCUCUCUCUAGCCGCUGAUUCUCGGCGUCGCAGACUCCGAUUCCCGCUUCCGCCGCCGUCGAUUGUCGCUGUCGCCGCCGCCGAUUCUCGUCGUCACCGCCUAUUGGAGGCUUCAGACUUGUCAACCAACAGACCCGCCUUCUGAAACAGUUGGAGAAGGUGGCAAAUACCUAUAAGGCAAGGUUUGUGGUGAAUGUCGGUGAGUUUGGAGAAGAUGAUCCGCUAGUUCAGAAUGCUACUCGGAUCGUCCCUACUGAAAAUCCCUUGGUAUGACAUCCUUUUGUAAUAUGCUCUGAAUUGGAUGCAUUGUGUUCUGCAGAUAAUUUUCCUGCCUUUCUCUGUAUAUUACUUCAGUUAGUAGUUUACAAUAGUAAAUAUCCUGGUGGGACCCUUUUAAAAAAUAACCUUAAAUAAGCCAUUCUAUGAACACUAGCACUCAAUGUGAAAACUUCAAAUGGAUAGCCUCCUCAUUUAAUGAAUAAUUUCAC